rnacentral:rRNA from 1 species
GAUGAACGCUGGCGGCGUGCCUAAUACAUGCAAGUCGAGCGAACAGACGAGGAGCUUGCUCCUCUGACGUUAGCGGCGGACGGGUGAGUAACACGUGGAUAACCUACCUAUAAGACUGGGAUAACUUCGGGAAACCGGAGCUAAUACCGGAUAAUAUAUUGAACCGCAUGGUUCAAUAGUGAAAGACGGUUUUGCUGUCACUUAUAGAUGGAUCCGCGCCGCAUUAGCUAGUUGGUAAGGUAACGGCUUACCAAGGCAACGAUGCGUAGCCGACCUGAGCGGGUGAUCGGCUACACUGGAACUGAGACACGGUCGAGACUCCUACGGGAGGCAGCAGUAGGGAAUCUUCCGCGAGGGGCGAAAGCCUGACGGAGCAACGCCGCGUGAGUGAUGAAGGUCUUCGGAUCGUAAAACUCUGUUAUUAGGGAAGAACAAAUGUGUAAGUAACUAUGCACGUCUUGACGGUACCUAAUCAGAAAGCCACGGCUAACUACGUG